UCGGGCCGCCUGGUCGCACGCCAUUCGUGUCAGACGUGAGGCCUGGGCGGCGGCGGGGAGGUUGGCGCGGGGCCGCGGGGCGGUCACCGGCUCCGUUCCCCGGGUUUGGGGGGGUGCCUGCGUUUCCCACGGCUUGCUCGCCGGGCUCGCCGCGCACGCGCAGGCCCGCCCCUGGAGCCGGUGCGGGUCGGAGGGCGGUGGCGUCUCCCGGGGCAGCCGGCUUCCGGGGCGGGGGCUCGCAGCGUCGGUGGAAGGGAUGGACGGCGGCGAGCUCGGCCCGCCCGCCUGUGGCACCGCGUCGUGUCCACGCUAGCACAGCAGGAGGCUGCUGCCUCCUCGGUGCUGGGAUAACCUCGUCACACCGGUCUGACUCUUCCUUUGGUGGUGCUUGUUCUACUCUUGUCUCACCAAAUUUGGAGGGGGAAGGAAGGCGUCCAUGCCCUCUUUACCCUUCCUGCACUCACUUCCCCUAGCCUGCUUUCUGUGCUGAUCCACACAGCGGAACCUACAAUGCUGAAAGGCAUCACUCCGUAGAUGUCCUGCAGUCUCUCAGGCACAGCCCAGACUCCUCCACGGCGUGGACAUCCUGGAACAUUCUUUGGCAUCUUUCCUCAGUAUCCUUCUGUUAUGGUCUUUCCUCUUAAUUGCUGUCACAGGCUCUACAUUCUCUAAGCCUGGGCCAUGCUGCAUUCCAGGAUGCCCUGCACUCUUCCUGCCUCUUCCUCCUCUAGGAGUGAUGUUCUGAAACUGAUUUUCCUCCUCUCUGCUGUACCGCUUGCUGUAAUUCUAGGACUGCCUAUCAACCCUGUGUUGACACCUCCACCUUGGAAUCCCCCAGACUCCCACCAGACUGAACUGACCGUCUUUGCCCCCCUCUUCCCUGUACUCCCACGUGCCUGUCCCCAAAGCCUGCACUUUCUCCUAACUUCUGGGACUUGGCUGCUGGAACUGCUAUCCAUCCUGAGUACCAAACGUGAAACCCAGACAUGUCCCUGAUGCCACUUUUUCCUUUCUCUACACCCAGCCAGUCUGAGCAGGAGGAUUCAGCCCUCUAAGAUUUAGGGUGCUGGAGCCUGGGAAGAUGGCUCAGGGGUCAGAGUGCAUUGGUCACCCAUGUUCGGUGACUCUCAGUUGUCCUUGACUACAGCCCCCCCCAACCUUGGGAACCUCAAGCACCUCACUCGGGUAGAGCGCAUCCCACACCUAGACGCGUAUACACACAAUUAAAGAUAAAAUGUAUCAAACAUCAUGUAAGAAUCAUCUGUGGCAGAAAUGAGACCGGCUCUCCUUCCGUAGAACUGUGUUCUGACCAGGACUGUAUGUGAGCAGUGACGCCAACCAUCUUUGCACAGGAAGGUGAAUGUUAGGCUUGACACAGUAGCUUUAGCAAUGGCAUUUUAAAUAAAUGGAGUUUGUCACUUAAAAGCGGGCAUGGGCUCAUUGCCGGGCUUCAGACUCCCUUCAUUUUUCAGUCAUCUUUUGGACCCUAGUUAGCAGGCUCUUGUUAAGUAGCUGGGGCCUGUCUUAAUCUCAGACUAGCUUAAGUAGACCUUACACGUGUGAUCCUCCUGCCUCAGCCUCCUGACUUCAACUGGCCUGUACCACAUGGAUUGCACUCUCAAUUCUCUGGGAUUGGUAGUGGCCAGGUGGGCAAGAAAGGGAAAUGCAGUGUUUUUCAAGCCGAAGUUCCCUUACUUCUUUUAGUUCACAAACAUUUAAAGUUGGGGUUAACAGCACGUGCACACUUACUCCAUCUAAUUUUCCUUUGGGUGUGGGGGUGCAAUUUUAUGGCCUUCUUGGGAGGCGGAGUCAGGGAAACGGCGCGUUCAAGGCCUCCCUGGGUGCUGAGACACCAUUUCAAGGUCGAAAAACGUGUGCCAGUGAGACCACCAAAACCUGACACCCUGACUUAGAUCCCAAACCAAUGUAAAGGUGGGAGGAGAGAAAUGACCUCCUAGCGUUGUCCCCUGACCCUCACACGUGUGUUUGGCAUGUGUACCCAUGCACAUUACGUAUGCACAAUAUACACACUAGUGACAAAGUUUUUAAAACUAAAAUACAGUCGGGAGGGUGGACUGGAGAAAUAGUUCAGCUACAGAGCUGUUGACUAGCGACCCACAAAGCUCUACAUUCAACACUCAGUACCGUAAAAAUGCCUAUAAUUUGACACCGCAUAUAUCUGGUCAUUAUUUUUCCCAGUAGAUGGCAAGUAGGCAGAGUUUUCUCCUUUAAUAUUCAGUUGUAGAUGGGUUAUCUGUUGACAUUUUACAUGAUAAAGCUUGUAACUUAAUAAACAUAACUGAAAGGAA